ensembl:lncRNA
CUCUGGUAAAAGCUGGCCAGUGUGUUAUGCAGAGACCAUGUUAUGCAGAGGCAACUAGUGAGAAACAGACCUCGGACUCCUUGCAAUGGCUGAAGGCCUCUCCAGUGAUGGAGGCAAAAUUGACUUUUGCCACAAAGAAGAUGAAAACAAAGCAACUGGAAGGCACUGGCUCUGCUAGAAAAUACAUCAUUGCCAUCUGGGGAAGGGCUGGGACAUGGGCAGUGACUGGGCGAGGGCUGAGCUGGAUAUGCAGCAGCAUGGCUCCCGCUGGGACUGGGGAGGUCAUUCAGACAGAGUCACACAAAAGCGGUGUCUACCCCUGCUUGUCUGUUAGCAAUGAUAGCUGGCUCACCUACCUGUGCCUAAAAGAAGCUGAGUUUUGGGCGAUCACUAAGCAGUGCUACAGCUGGGCAGGGAGGAGCAUCUGGAAAACUUGAUAUACACAUGGGAUGAAGAGCUUGUGUUGGCAACUGCUGCUGGACCAUUUCUGCAAAUGCCUUAGGGUCCUACAUAUAAAGGAUUAGCAUCCAGGUUAGCCUGUGGUUAGUUUCUUACUCCUACCUGAAUGCAGGAAAGGAGAGAAUUAGGCAGAGAUGGUAGAGCAAAGUGGAAUAAGCAGGAGAGUCUUUGUAAUUGGUGCCUAAAGGUGUCCUGUAGUCUUUUGCACAACAGCGUCUGAUUGACAGAUGGGCCAGGAAAGAGACCCAAGUGUGUGAGAUGCAGUGUUAUAUGGGAGCAAAUGAGGCUUUCUCCUGUUUGAUUCCAGGCACAGGAAAGCUCCAGCAAAGAAUCAGAAACCAGAGUUCACUCAUAAGCUGAUUCUUUCACCCUCUCGGUGACUUGUCUCAGCUGCAAAAAGGAGAAACAAUUUAAAAACUGAACCUAGGCUUCUGCUCUAAUUUUUGCUUUGGACUCACACAGGCUUAUCCUUUCCCUCAUGUCAGAUAUAAUCCUAAAAAUGUUAGAGAAGUUCAAAUAGCGUUUGUGAAUGCUUUCUGGAGAAAAGCCUUUCCCAAUUUCUUUUCUUUAUUCCAUAUACUAGUCUUCUGAUUACUUUUUAAUUUUUUUUAAUCCAUUAUUUUUCUGUUAUAAAAAUUGUGUCCUUUAAGUUUGAACAGACGAAUUAUCUUCUCUAACUCAGAUAUCACAUAUUUUACUCUUGAAUUUGAAACAACGUAUAGGAUAUGACAGAGGAAUAGGUAGAACAGUUCAUAUAGCUCAGCCUGGGCUGGACAGCCUUUAAAAUUAUCCUAAAUGCCAAUACAAAUUUACCCUUAAAUUAUUUCUAUAAUGUUGUUAUUAUUUAAAUUCUUGCAGGAGAACACAUUUGUGGUGCUAUUGCCAGACAGCUUGCAAAUUUUGAUGGCUGUAAGGGAGGACUGAUUUACCCCGGAUCAGCAAAGACAGCUGUAUUGGCAGAUCUCUCUCUGCCACCAAGGUCUGUCAGGCUCAGAGGCUGCCAGUGGAAGUAUUGGGAUCUGCCCUGGAUUCUGGUUUCCAAAGGAUCUGGAGCUAAGCCUAGGAAGAGUAGGGGCCGUAUCCGCUCACUGUUGGGAACUCUGGAUAGGUCUGUUGUAUGCUGUAUUUAACGCUGUGAUUUGAAUUUACAUUCAAGUCAGAUCUUCUGUACAAGUGUAAUUGUGUCAAAAUCUUCUAGCCUACUUCCAUCAGCCCAGAGAGGAAAGCUCACAAGCUGAGCUAUUACCUUGAGCUUGCUAAAUCAUUGAGUUGGUGGUUGUAGAUUUCUGUGCUGUGGCUAUAAGCUGACUAAUUUCUGAUGCUACUCAUUUCACUCCUUAAAAAAAACUUAGUAUUUUUAGUUAAGUAAUAACAGGUAAAAAACAUCAAAGCAUCAGUUUAAAUGCUUUAUAUUUUCAUUGUCUCCUUGCCAUCAGGUAUCAUUUAAUAUUCACACUUUUGUGGUGCAGUCGCAUUCUGCUUUGUGCUUUAGGGCUGUUCCCAUGAUCUGGGGGCUUGUUGUAAACCUGAGUGGUUUUAUUUUUCUUUUCCAAAUAAAUAAAUGCUAUGGGCCAGACCGUUAGCAGGCCCAAAUCAGUUUAGUUCUACUAAAGUGAAAAGAACUUUGCAGACCAGCUUAUAGUUUGGCCCAAUAUUCUUGAAAUAAUGAUCCCAUUCAAAAUCCACACCCUGCCUGACAUUUUCAGGGCUGGCCUUGAUUUGAGUGUAGAAGUACAGGAUGUCUACUGCAAAUCUAAUGAUGCAUAGAAAAUAACUAUUUAAGCUAAAUGGAGCAUUACUUUUACUACUAGAAGCCAUUUAAGAAUUCUGAGAACCGCUACUACUUAAGCUGUGUUUAUAAUGUUUAUCUAAAUGCAAAUGAGAACAUUGCUGUUUAUAUAUAUGCUUUGUCAUUUUGUUUCACAUAGUUGGUCAGGGAAAAAGCUUUGACAAACUUUCUGAUAAAAUACUUAAAAUUUUCUAAUAUAAAACUUUGAUCAGUGCAAGAAACAGGUUUUUUUAAAAUGAAAAAUGUUUGUUUAAAAAAACCUGCUGAAGUUUUCAAUGUUGUCUGUAUUAGGUGUUUAGAACAGGCCCAGUACUUUGAUAUAUUGUGAAAUAAUAAAUAAAGCUGAAUCAAUA